rnacentral:tRNA from 1 species
UCCCUAGUAGCUCAGAUGGUAAAGCAUCUGACUGCAAUGCAGGAGACCUGGGUUCGAUCCCUGGGUUGGGAA